rnacentral:lncRNA from 1 species
GAAUGUGCCAGGGUCAAGUCUGUACUGAUUUUCAUGGUGAAUAGAUUACAUGCUUGCAUUCAUGUUCACUUCCGAAGCGCUUAGUGUCUUCCUUCCCUUACUUACAUAUUAACCUCAAAUACCCUACGCGGCUUCAUCCAAGCUUUACUAGAGGUAGUUAACAAUAUUGUAUUCCC